AACGAACGCUGGCGGCAUGCCUAACACAUGCAAGUCGAACGAGACCUUCGGGUCUAGUGGCGCACGGGUGCGUAACGCGUGGGAACCUGCCCUUAGGUUCGGAAUAACUCCCCGAAAGGGGUGCUAAUACCGGAUAAUGUCUUCGGACCAAAGAUUUAUCGCCUUUGGAUGGGCCCGCGUUGGAUUAGCUAGUUGGUAGGGUAAAAGCCUACCAAGGCGACGAUCCAUAGCUGGUCUGAGAGGAUGAUCAGCCACACUGGGACUGAGACACGGCCCAGACUCCUACGGGAGGCAGCAGUGGGGAAUAUUGGACAAUGGGCGAAAGCCUGAGCCAGCAAUGCCGCGUGAGUGAUGAAGGCCUUAGGGUUGUAAAGCUCCUUUACCCGGGAUGAUAAUGACAGUACCGGGAGAAUAAGCGCCGGCUAACUCCGUG
rnacentral:rRNA from 1 species